rnacentral:rRNA from 1 species
GGAACCUGGUUGAUCCUGCCAGUAGUCCACGCUUGUCUUAAGGGUUAAGCCAUGCACUUGAGAAGUAUCAAUUUUUGAAUGGUUAGACUGGGAAUGGCUCAUUAAAACAGUUAUGAUUUACUUGAUGAUUGCUUUAACAGCAUUGGAUAACAGUAGUAAUUCUAGUGCUAAUACACGUUUAAUGACCCGACUUU